CUUAAUUCUUUAUAUCUUUUUCUGUGCAUGCAGCUUCUGUGCACUGGGGAAAAGGCACCACUGGUUUUACAGAUCUUUACUGGUGGACUGUGCACAUCUGGGACUGCUGUAUAAUAAUACCCCCAUCCAGCCGGCAUAUCUCAAGAAUGGGGUUGCAUCCAGAGUCUGACAGGUGCUAAGUCACCAAAGUUUAUCCGCUGACAUUAAACCUCUUAAAUAUAUUCUGAGAAGAAAUACUCACCUUCCUGGAUUAUUCUACAUGUGCUACAAAUACUCCAGAUGUUAGUGUCACGGCUGUUUCUAGGGACUGAGCUCUGAAAAAAAUGGUUCUGCAAAUUUGCAAAAGUUGGCUGAGGAUGAUAAUAUAAGGUACAAAUACAUGUGACACUCUGCCCACCUGCCCACAAAAGGCUGCCAGCUGCCAGAAGCAUGUAA